GUGAAGCUGCGCGAGACAGGACAGUAGCACCAGACUUCGUCCGUCGCGUCAUGCUGAUGCGCGGCGAUGUGCAGGCGAAUAGUGCGACGACAUUCGCCGCGGCAUCCGCCAAUGAUGAAGAGUUUUUCUCCGAAACUGGAAAGAAGCCAGUUGAAACAGCAUGUCCACAUUGUCUUCUCUGAUUUCUAUUUCACCAGAAUACGCAAAAUCCAGGAAGGUGUGGAUGGCCUGCGGCGAGAGGUUACUGAGGGUCACGGUGCCGUCAUCACGCUCCCGCAUGUCCAGCUCAAACAUCGCCCUGUUUUUUUAAAUUAAUAUUUUUAUUCAUCAAGGACGCAUUAAAUUGAUCAAAAGUGACAGUAAAGACAUUUAUAAUGUUACAAAAGAUUUCUAUUUCUAAUAAACGCUGUUCUUUUGAACUUUCUAUUCAUCUGUGAAUCCUGAAAAAUAAAAUACAUCACAAUUU